rnacentral:precursor_RNA from 1 species
UCGGAGAUCAGUGCAGCCCAAAGAUCACAUUGGAUUCUCCUCACUACACUCCAUCUUCUAACCUAGUCUGCAUCACGGCUAGGUGCAUCCGUUGCCAAGUUCAUCCAAUAUAUGCCAACCGCAUUGCAAGGACGACCAUAUGCACACACACACCACAGUCCACAGGAGACAGAUAGCUAGCUAGCUUACUCUUUAGUCAUACAUACACUUAUAAAUAGCCACCGGCUCUGUGCUCAUCAGCAAGGCAGAUUAAACAAGUGAAGUGGUCCACAUCAAAAAUGAAGUAAUCAGGUCUAGGGAGUCAAAAUUUGGUUGGUUGUCCACUGGAGUUCUCCUCAAUCCACUUCAGUAGAUAGCUAUGGCUAGGCCUCAUUGCAUUGCACUGUUACAUAACUGUGAUCAUGGGGCCAAAAGCUAGCUAUGUAUAGUGAAGUGCUUGGGGGAACUCCAGUUGACACUCAGCAUUUUCAAGUUAGGUAUGUAAGUGCUUGUACUUUAUGAAUUUGUAAGUGACAGAGAAUGAUUAGGUUUGGAGUCCCUAGGAGUUCCUUUCAAGCACUUUACGACACACUGUAUUGAGAGUUGUCGUGAAGUGUUUGGGGGAACUCUUAGUG